rnacentral:rRNA from 1 species
GACGAACGCUGGCGGCGUGCCUAAUACAUGCAAGUCGAACGCAUUUUCUUUCACCGUAGCUUGCUACACCGAAAGAAAAUGAGUGGCGAACGGGUGAGUAACACGUGGGUAACCUGCCCAUCAGCGGGGGAUAACACUUGGAAACAGGUGCUAAUACCGCAUAAUUCCAUUUACCGCAUGGUAAAUGGAUGAAAGGCGCUUUUGCGUCACUGAUGGAUGGACCCGCGGUGCAUUAGCUAGUUGGUGGGGUAACGGCCUACCAAGGCUGCGAUGCAUAGCCGACCUGAGAGGGUGAUCAGCCACACUGGGACUGAGACACGGCCCAGACUCCUACGGGAGGCAGCAGUAGGGAAUCUUCGGCAAUGGACGCAAGUCUGACCGAGCAACGCCGCGUGAGUGAAGAAGGUUUUCGGAUCGUAAAACUCUGUUGUUAGAGAAGAACAAGGAUGAGAGUGGAAAGUUCAUCCCUUGACGGUAUCUAACCAGAAAGCCACGGCUAACUACGUG